rnacentral:rRNA from 1 species
AACGAACGCUGGCGGCAUGCCUAACACAUGCAAGUCGAACGAGACCUUCGGGUCUAGUGGCGCACGGGUGCGUAACGCGUGGGGAUCUGCCCUUUGCUUCGGAAUAACAGUUAGAAAUGACUGCUAAUACCGGAUGAUGACUUCGGUCCAAAGAUUUAUCGGCAAAGGAUGAACCCGCGUAGGAUUAGCUAGUUGGUGGGUAAAGGCCUACCAAGGCGACGAUCCUUAGCUGGUCUGAGAGGAUGAUCAGCCACACUGGGACUGAGACACGGCCCAGACUCCUACGGGAGGCAGCAGUGGGGAAUAUUGGACAAUGGGCGAAAGCCUGAUCCAGCAAUGCCGCGUGAGUGAUGAAGGCCUUAGGGUUGUAAAGCUCUUUACCCGGGAUGAUAAUGACAGUACCGGGAGAAUAAGCUCCGGCUAACUCCGUGCCAGCAGCCGCGGUAAU